rnacentral:rRNA from 1 species
UACAGAGGGUGCGAGCGUUGUCCGGAAUCACUGGGCGUAAAGGGCGCGUAGGUGGUGGCUUAAGCGUGCGGUGAAAGCUCGGGGCUCAACCCCGAGUCGGCCGUGCGAACUGGGCUCACUGGAGCAUAGUAGAGGCAGGUGGAAUUCCGGGUGUAGCGGUGGAAUGCGUAGAGAUCCGGAAGAACACCGGUGGCGAAGGCGGCCUGCUGGGUUAUGGCUGGACACUGAGGCGCGACAGCGUGGGGAGCAAACAGG